GACGAACGCUGGCGGCGUGCCUAACACAUGCAAGUCGAGCGAGUGAAUCUCCUUCGGGAGUGAAGCUAGCGGCGGACGGGUGAGUAACACGUGGGCAACCUGCCUCAUAGAGGGGAAUAGCCUUCCGAAAGGAAGAUUAAUACCGCAUAAGAUUGCAGCUUCGCAUGAAGUAGCAAUUAAAGGAGCAAUCCGCUAUGAGAUGGGCCCGCGGCGCAUUGGCUAGUUGGUGAGGUAACGGCUCACCAAGGCGACGAUGCGUAGCCGACCUGAGAGGGUGAUCGGCCACAUUGGGACUGAGACACGGCCCAGACUCCUACGGGAGGCAGCAGUGGGGAAUAUUGCACAAUGGGGGAAACCCUGAUGCAGCAACGCCGCGUGAGUGAUGACGGCCUUCGGGUUGUAAAGCUCUGUCUUCAGGGACGAUAAUGACGGUACCUGAGGAGGAAGCCACGGCUAACUACGUGCCAGCCGCCGCAGUAAAAC
rnacentral:rRNA from 1 species